AUGAAGACUGGUAUUCUUGCACAUCAGAGGGUAAUUCUCCCGGUGCACGAGUCUGACCAAAUCAAUUUGGGUUGUCUGCCAAACAAUGAUUGCUGGGAAUUAAUAAAGAUAAGAGCAUUUAGGCCUGAUGAUGACCAGACUCACUUGGAACAAAUCGGAGAUGAAAUUGCAAGUAAAUGUGGAGGUAUACCUCUAGUGGCAAAUGCUUUUGGGCAAGUAAUGUCUGAGAAUAGGUCCAUCAAGGCAUGGGAAGAUAUAAAAGUGAAGAUGGUUGAUGUGGGUUUCAGAGGCGCACACUAG
rnacentral:rRNA from 1 species